UUAAACCUUUAAAAUACAUCUGUGAAAUGAAGCGUUAUAUUACUACCUUUGUUUUUUUUUCCCCUCAGUUUAAGUAGAUGUUGAAUGUUUAAAUGUCCAGAGCUGCAGAGAAGAUUGGUCAGAUUUAGAACUGAAGACUGUGAGCUUGUCCUGCACUGCCUGAACUUCUCAGAUAGCAUUGGAUGUUCUUCACUAAUUUAUAGUCCAACAUCCAAUGGACACGUCCUUCUUUUCCCCGAUGGUAAACUUUGGAGUACUGACAUCACUGAUCUUCUACGAUGCCACAAGAGCACAUCACAUGAUGAUGGAAACCACUUGCAAAUAUUACUGUUAUUUAAUUUCAACAACAGGUUGUAGUAAUUUAACUAAUAUGCUUGAAGAAUUACAUAAGUAGCAAUAGAACAAAAUAAUGUCAGCUUGCAUUUCCCCUUGUUUUGUUUCAAGACAAAUCAAUUGCAAAACACAAAUCAAAGAAAUGGAUACACAUUGUAAACAAUUUUGGGUCCCAAGCACUAAUGACUGAGAGAACUUUCUCUCAUAAAGAUAAAUAUUAUACAAUGAAGAUCCUAAAAGCUCCCCUGUGAGGCCUUGAACUACUUGAAAGGACAUUUUAUUUUAGCCCUAACAUUCUUUGAUGGGCUAAAGACGAAUGAGUAACACAAAAUGAGUAAGACCAGGUAGUCCAAGUCAUAUUGCAGUUCUCUGGAUGGAUCACUAUUCACUAAACUGUGUAAGUAAAGGACAGAAAUUAUUGUCCCCUCAUUUCCUUUAAAAAAUAUUAUGUUCUUUUGAAGCCUACCUCAGGUCUUGCAACAAGACAAAAAAGUGACUCAGCAGUUUCAAAAGAUGGCAAGACUGAGCCAGGGGGAAUUUAAUGGUAAACAGUCGUCUAAUGGUAAACAUUGGUCAUCUAAUUGUAAACAGAAGUUUGUUACAAUUUUCAGGACUUAUUUGUCAAAUCUUGACAGAUCAGGGAAAUGGAAAGGACUGUGUCCUGAUUGAGUCUGAAGAGGAGCUUGAAAUUUAUUUUCAAGGAAAAACUACAUAUUUUUAAAAAAUUCUACCUUUUUAAUAAAGACAAGGAAAUACACAGUCAAGCUACCUCCUUGUCUAACCUAUCAACAGAGCUGUAACCAAGGUUCCACUUUUCUGUAUGUUUUUCCUAUGCCAUAUUUUGGCUUUUCAGGGAAAGAAUGUAUAUAUUUUUCUGGGUCAUUUAGAAAGUAGCUUGUGAUUUCAAUUAAAGGUUGAAGUAGAUUCUUGUGUUUCUCAGAAUUAAAGGAAAAUAAAAUUUCAGUUGCAUCAAAUAGUUGUUUAUGUAACAUUUCGGUUCUUGAUCAUCUGAACCCAUGAUGGACGUCAGUAUCUUGCUAAGAGAGUGACAUUACUAAAAUGAAGGUUUUAGUCUUUUACUCAGAGCAGUUCCUGUGAGAAAGAAAUACUUGAAGGAAAUCUUGCUGCAAACUUUAUCAGUGGCUUGGCAACUUCUGGGGAGACAGAUUAAUAUUCCGUUGAUUCACUUGUGCUAUCAAAGUUCAGGGUUCUGAACAACACAGUGGUUUACAGACUCCUGGCCAGAUUUUUUUUGUGCUUCCUCUCAUCCCAGUGCAGAUGCUGCUGUCUAAAUAGCCUUUGGGGGAAAUUUCCUUUGUGGAUGCAGACAUGGCAGUGGAAAUAGCAGGAGCCUGCUGAAGCAAUGCUGGGUUGGUUUUGGAGCAAAUGGGGAAAGCUGUUGCCAAGGAGGAAUAGGGAGAAGUACUUGAUCAGAAUUCAGACAGUGGAAACUCUCCUUCGGCCAAAGCAGUUUUUCACCAAUUUCCUCAAAGCUGCAAGGAUGUACCAGAAAGAUCCAUCACCACAACACAUAUAGUUUGGGCUGAAGUUGUUUGGCAUAUUUUGAUGGAAAUGAAGAAAAACUGUCACCCUAACCCUGGGAACUGAAUACUGAUAGGCAAACUGGGUCAUGCUACUUGCAGCUCAUCUCUAGCUGCAGCCAACAGAUGAGGCCAACUUUGGGACAGCAAAGUGCUGGAAAGCACUUCAGGCUUCAUCUCAAAGGAUUUAGAGGAAGGAGAAAAGAAAGCUCAAAAAACAAACAAUAUAAUGUCAUAUCAUCAUUUCUUGUCAUAGGAAAAAGAACACUUAUCUCUUGCUCUUGGAAAUCUUUCAUUUGGGAGAAAAGAGGAGCUAGGCUUACUAACGGCACAUCACAAACAAGAUGCAGCUGUCAUUUAAUUUUAAAAGCUUGAAAUUAUUCCCAAAUAGUGUUUAAAAUAGAUUAUUUAUAAUGAAAUGAAAGUCAUUAUUCUAUUCCUUCAAGACUGACAAAAAUUUGCAGUCCAAACCUCCCACAAGUCUACAUCAAUAAACUCACAGAGACCAAACAGAAGACAUUACUCUCUCAAGGAGUAACAAAUUGCAAGGGAUGCUGAGAAGACUGGCAGUGGAGAGGAAGGGCAGGCUGAUGAUGUCUCCUUCAAGAGGUGUGCAAAAUUGAGGCAGCCCAAUUCUACCCCACAAGCUAUGUAAUUUAAAUCUACUUCAGAGAAGGGUUUGUAUGACAUCUGAGUUAAAUCUCCCAAGCAGAACCUUUGCAAGGAAAGAAGAGACUCAAACAGAAUUGGAACAUGCAGAGUUGUGAGCUCUAAUAGUAACCUUUCGCUACUUCAGCAGCUUAAUGACAUCAGACUUUCUCAGUAUUUCUGUGGUGAAAGACACUAAUGAUAUUCUGCACUCUUACUCAUGUGAUUUCUAAAGACUAUGUUUGUGAAGACUUUUGAUUAAAAAUAGCGCCAACUAAACAACAGUGUUGCUUCCCCUGGGACAUGUACAUGUAGAUGCUCUGAUGGUAAGAGGAGGUAGACAGCUAAAGAUACUAGGUAAACAGAGCCUUGUGAAGAAAAGUUCAUCUGAAAAUAGAACAAUUUUACCUAUGCAUUGUGGAUUCGAACUCACAGACAUCUAGUGAAUAACAUUGCAUACGAAAAGGUAUCUGAAGUGCUGAAAUGAAAUGUUUGCAUUGAAAUGUGCUGUAAAAGAAUUGUUUGGUAUGUCAAAUCUCUAGUAGGAUUUUUUUUGGAAGAAAUGGUGUAAAUAUAGACUAUUUACAUGUUAGCAUGGAAGGUAAGCAACAAAGAGAUAGACUAAACAAAUAACAGAUAUCAGAAGCCUCUUAUUUAAAAGUAGCGAUAUAAUCUUUCUUUCAGCAUGCAUCCUGACACAGCUAAUUAAUGUCAUAGUCUAGAAACUAAAAAGGGAAAUCACAUAAAGCAGCAUGGGUGAGCAUUCUUUAUAUACAGAAGAGAAUAUAUUGAACAAUUACAAGAUUUUCAGAUUUACAGACAUUUUGCUCAGUUUAGUGUUUGUUUGGUUUUUUCCCCCUCAUUUUCCCUGGAAUGAGUUUUUCACUUUGACUUUUAAGAAAGUUUUUAUGAUAUACAACUCUUCUGUGAAUCAGCUGUAAUGAUCUCUGUACUGUGCUCAGUGUCCAGGGUCUGCUCAGCCUGCUAAUGAGAACAUUUUUACUGUAUAUUUGUUCCUUAUGUGGCACACUUAACAUGGAAUUUCAUGUUAUAUAUAACACUAAUAGGAGCAUGAUUUUAAAAAAAAUUUAAUCCAUCCAUUUAAAGAAAUAGUUUCUACUUGUAGUGAUAUUAAGUUCAACAGCCUGGUCUGAGAAAUUUCAGGAAAGAGAUUAAUUUUGUUAUAUACAAAUGCAUGCAAUGCCAAUAAUCUGUAAUAAUCCUUUUCUUUCUUUUCCCCCUUCCAUUUAUAUCUAGUAGUCCUCCUAGGGUGCAGCAUUUUGCAAUGAAGAAUCAAACAUCUAAGAUUGGUGAGAGGAAUUCUGUCCUGUCCUUUUCUUUCCAUUAGCUAUAAAGAGAGUAUAGGAUGAUCUGCUCAGACAUAGAUAUGUAAGUAAGGCAUGUGUGAAAAUCUUGCCUCUCAAGCAGUGGAAUUGAUACAACUUAAUAAAAGAAAUAUCUGGUAUACUUUAAAGUGGAUCAGCAAUAUUAGUUGGAAAAUUUCACCUUCUCAAGCCAGUUGAUACAUUUGUGUUUUUUGGGUGUUUUUUUUUUUCUUUUCUUUUUUUUUCAUAACCUACUGAGAGUGUGGGGACAGAACAAUUCAAGUUCUUUAUAAUGCAUUUAAGUAUAUAGUUUGGAACCUUCCUGGCAGUGGAGAUGCUAGGUAUUAUUAUAUUAUUUUGAUGGACUUUUACUGAACACUACUGCAGGAGUCAAAUAAAUGAGGUUCUUUGUUGGGAUUGUGUAGACCUUCACAGCUCUGAUCUAAGAGAGCUGUGCUCAGCAGCAGCUAGUUAUGAGAAUCACAAACCAUUAGAAAUUAGUUCUUUCCGUGCCCCUUUUUCUUUGUUCUAGGAAUUUUCUUUCAGUUACUGUGAAUUGCUGUAGUUAUCGUAGUGUUGGAAGACAUAUGUCUCUUGAUGAAAUAUGUUUACAAGCAUAUAUGUUAAAAUAAAACACAGAAUCUACAU